CAUUUGGAGACAGAAAAUAAGUUGUUUAGAGAAGAAGAGGAAUCUCAGAUGGAGGGCUCUGGCGAUUUUGGUGAAGGUCUUUACCAAGAGAGAUCAGUGUUGACUCCAUAUUUUACACCAUAUUUGAAGAAGGUAAAGCCAGAUUCUGGUAUUCAAUCUGUCAAUUUGGAUUUCUCUCCUAGCUCGGGUGGGGUUAGCUCUGACGUUUCUGGGAAGGAAGGAUCUGGAUCACCUUCGUUACCCUCUUUGGAUUCAGAACCUGAAUCUUUUACCAAGUCUGUAAUCCGUAACCAGGGCACGCCAGUGAAUACUGAGGAACCCUCUAAAGGUAAGCUGAAAGCAGACACUACUGAUAUGGAAAGAUAGAGCCAUUUUCUUGGAGACAGAGAAAAUAGAAGUUAUGAUGAGUUGCUUAAGAAGUUUAUAAAAAAUGAUGAAGAGCUAAGAGUUUCCAAUUUAAAACCUCAACUGUUUGAAGAAGAGACUAUCAAGUUGAAGAAUCAAAUUGAGAAAAGUGUGAAUCAACUUGAUAAUGUGAUGAAAGAAUUAGAACUGAAUAAGGAUGAACUUGAAUAUAAAAAUGGACAGGUACAGGAGUUGCAAAAUCAAACAGCUGAGUUGGAGACUCAUGUUUCAGAUUAUUGCACCAAGAUUGCAAAUUCGGAGGAACAAUUAGAGGUAGCUAAUGAACACCUCAAGAUAUCAAAUGAUGAUAUUGCAAGAUUAAGAAAUGAACUUGAGAAUAGGUCAUUUGAGACUCAUUAAUUGCAAGGGCAUCUUGAAAUGGCACAUGAAAAUGUGGCAAAAUUGGAAUGGCAGCUUGAUUUAGGAGAAAAGCAGUUCCGAGAGUUAGAAGACGGGGUUGCAUGCUUUAAAGCUAAUGAAACUAACCACCAACAUGAGAUGCAAAUAAUGAAGGAGUAAAAUUCUUGAAAACCUUUGUCUGUGCUUGCAUUUCCGAAUUUCUCUCGCUUUAUGAAACCGAAAUAUUGGUUCAAGAACUCACAAAGUUUGAGAUUGACACACACAACAUCAUCAUUAAUCAAGUAAUCUUCGAUGAUGAAGAUGUUGAAUCCAAGUUACUUAAAGCAAUCAAUCGAUUUUUGUUACAACAGAAGCAGAAACUCAUCAAAGGAUGGGAACAACAAAGGAUUGUACUUUAAUUUAACCACACUUCUGUUAUGUAGAUUUGAUUAGUGGUAAUGUAUUGUUUUCUGCUGUUGAAUGAGGUUAUGGUUCCUAAUCCAUUCAAUAGGCCUCAUGCUGUGUUUCUGCUGGAAGUGAAUGGAAUCAAAGGUCUUGAAAGCAUUGCCCAGGAUAAUGCAAUGUUCUACAAGUCAUCAUGGGAUGGAAAUUUUAUUGGUUAAGAUAAAGUUGACAUUCAACUUCCAGGUGAAUGCCAUUGAAAUUGUGAGAGCCAUGCUAAACAUGUACUUCUCUUUGUCUUUUACAUGAGGAAACUGAAAAUCUAUAAGAGUUAAAAUAAAUAAAUAUUGUGCAACUUAACCAUGUUUUCUUGAUUGUACUUUUGGAUUACUAUCUAGAUUGUAUUGGGUCUGUAUGGCUUUUAAAUCACUUUAAAUCAAGUAUUACAUUCUUAUAAUUAUGUGAUCCAUCAUGAUUCAUGAUUAUCUGCAGAUUGGAAAAAUAGCAACUUGAUUAAUUUCUGCUACACUAAGUGCUAUAGCACUGCUUAAGCAACAAUUCGACAACAGUUUGCACUUAUCUGUUUAUGCAAAACAUUAUCAAUUUCUCUAAAUUCCACUAUGAUGACGCUAUAAUACAUAUUAUGUUUGCAAUGUAUCAAAACGGUAAUUAUUGACGGUUCUGUUCAGCCUUCACUCACUGAAAAGACUAACGUUGAUUUGAGUUUUUUACAAGCUGCCGAUGAUAUUCAAUCGAAUUUCUCUUACAAUUGGAAGUCCAGACAUAAAGCAGAAAGUGUUGUUUUUCUCUUUCUUUUUUUGAGUAAAAGCAUGUGAUGUUUCAACAAUAGGGUUAAAAUGCAGAUAUUUGAAUACUGGUGAUCCAACAGGGACAGAUUGGCUACCAGCCGAAUGUGAUGUUUCAAUUCGUGGAGGAUAUAGUUACAUAAGAUAUCAAGGUUUAUUACUACUGAUAUCUUCUCUUUUUUGUCCUAUAGUGUAUACAAGGUAUUUGACCUGAAAAACUAUUCAAUGUUGUACUCCAUUUCUGAUAAAAAUGUCCAGGAGAUUAAGAUCAGGUAACUUCUCGAUUUGAAUUUUCUUUCACUGGUAGAAAAAUCUUCCAUACACAUGCUUUAUAGGUCUUGCAAGUUGCAAGAAUUCUGAAAUUGUAUGAC